AUGCCCUACGGCGCGGGGACGAGGUGGCGUUGGGGGCGCUACUGCGGACAUGGAUGGAUAGGAGAUGGGAAGCUCUGGCUGGCCGGCACUCCAGCAGGCGAGGCGGCGACACGAGGCAGGAGGCGGCUCGGUCUGCGGCUACUCGGAUGCUCGGGCAUGGGCGGAGCCGGCGCGAGGAAGUGGAGCCUGGCAUGGCUCCCGCUUGAGGUGGCCUUCCUGGAGGAGCUCGGCGGCGGUGGUCACAGGCCGGCGCGGAGGAGGAAUGGGAGGCCCACGUGA
rnacentral:rRNA from 1 species